CAGCCGCCGCGGGAAUACGAAGGGUGCAAGCGCUAAUCGGAAUUACUGGGCGUAAAGCGUGUGUAGGUGGUUGUUUAAGUCUGUCGUGAAAGCCCUGGGCUCAACCUGGGAAUUGCGAUGGAUACUGGGCGACUAGAGUGCGGUAGAGGAUAGUGGAAUUUCCGGUGUAGCAGUGAAAUGCGUAGAGAUCGGAAGGAACAUCUGUGGCGAAGGCGACUAUCUGGGCCAACACUGACACUGAGACACGAAAGCGUGGGGAGCAAACAGGAUUAGAUACCCCCGUAGUCCCUGUCUCUUAUAC
rnacentral:rRNA from 1 species